rnacentral:rRNA from 1 species
GACGAACGCUGGCGGCGUGCUUAACACAUGCAAGUCGAGCGGUAAGGCCCUUUCGGGGGUACACGAGCGGCGAACGGGUGAGUAACACGUGGGUGACCUGCCUCUAGCUCUGGGAUAAGCCCGGGAAACUGGGUCUAAUACCGGAUAUGACUCCAUGACGCAUGUUGUGGGGUGGAAAGCCUUGUGCGGCUGAGGAUGGGCCCGCGGCCUAUCAGCUUGUUGGUGGGGUGAUGGCCUACCAAGGCGACGACGGGUAGCCGGCCUGAGAGGGCGACCGGCCACACUGGGACUGAGACACGGCCCAGACUCCUACGGGAGGCAGCAGUGGGGAAUCUUGCGCAAUGGGCGAAAGCCUGACGCAGCGACGCCGCGUGAGGGAUGACGGCCUGUGUAAC